ACUCACUCUAGUCAUCGGAGUCCUCCUGAGUAAAUAAAUUUUCCCGACGCUCCGGCUUCCGUUCUCCGCAAUCGAAACGACAAUGUCAGCGAAGCGCCAAGUGGAUGCCGCCGAGGUGUCGCCAAUGUUGGAUUUCAGAUCUCAUGAUGAAGCCUGGUACUCCGUCCGGCUUCGUUUGGAGGGCGACAAACUUCUUGUAAUGUACUGCGAUUUCCCCCAAGAAUACGACGAGGUAUACACCGUUGAAGGAUUCAAGAACAUUGAGAGCGUUGAGGAGUUCCGAAAGCGAUUUCGGCUGGCGUCGUCGCAACUGCAGGACAAGAACUGCGAUGUAGUAGUAAAGGGCAUGAGGGUUUGUGCAGCCAAUCGGUUAGCCGAGGUUGAGUUGAGGUUCUUUGAUGCAAUCGUGCAGUCGGUAAAUCCUUCGAUACAUGCUUUGCAAGAGGGAGAAUGUCGAUGCAAAUUUGAGUUGUUAUGGCAACAUGGUCCUCUAAAAGGAAAAAAAAGUGUUCUUGGUAUUGAAAAUGUGUGCCUCAUAAAAUCUCAUGAUGUAAUUGUUAACCCAACAUUGGACAAAUUUGUGGAUAUUAUGAAAGAUAAACUUAAGAAGGUAAAAAGCAACCGAAGUGACCCAAACCUUGACUCUUGUUCAUCGGAACUAACGCAAAAAUCUAAACUAGAAAGCCGACAUGGUCUCUCUUCAAGCACAAAUUUCAUUUCUACUAAUCAAAUCUCAAGCACUACAACCUUACACAAAUCAAAGAAGCAUCGACGAGAUUUUUGCAGCUUCAUGAAUAUAGAAGCUUCUAAACUAGAAGGGACUCUAAAGCCCGAUAAAGGAAGAUCUUCUAGUGAAAGCAUGAGUGGCAACUUCGAAGAGGAUUUUGAUAUGGGAGGGCAGUUAAUUCAGAAAUAUCAACAUUUUGAAAAGAAAAGAACAUACUACUUCUGCAGAAUUGAUAACUUGGAGAAAAACCUAUCAGCUUUCACGCUUAAGCAUUUUGUACAAGAGCAUCUUGGACUGCCAUGUUUAGCUUUUAUCUGCCCUACUAUAUCGCGUGAGUUUUGUACGAGGGGAUUUAUCCUACUAGAAGAGAUGCAUCAAUCUGACAAGCUAAUGGAUUUUUUGCUUAACAGGGAAUACAUCAUUGCUUCUUUGGAGGGAAGACCUUGGAUAAUUGAUGAUGCUUGUUUUGGAAUAGCAGAAGGGUUUAUGCCAGCAUAUGAGGUCAAACCAGUACCAAGUAAUAGAAGAGAGGAACUAAAUGUUCAGUUAAAAUUGGUCCACAAGGGAACCGCUGAAUAUGAGAAGAUUGAGAAAGUGCGGUUGUUGCAUUCCGAGUUUCUGGAGCAUAUCCAGUCUCGACUCCUACCAAGACUUUUGGCUGAUGAGUGGCAGCUCAUGAGGCAAGUGGCUGAAGAUUAGAAGGUAAAUUCACAUGGAAUGACCAUCUUGGGUUGACUCAACGAGUUGCUUCAGGUCUGGUAUUCAGUUUCAAAAGGAUUAUCAUCUCUCCCAUUCGAUCAGAAAUUCUAGCAACUGGUAUGUAACAAUCUCUCGGUCUAGUGGCAUUUUGGCGUUAAAUCGUAAACAUUAUUCAUAUUUUUGGCUGAAAGGCCAUCCACCAUAGCGGUAGUUGAAAUUUUUUUAUGAUAUGAUAGACCUUUAUGUUUCUUCUUUGUAAAUUCUCAUUUUGCUCUACAGUGUUCAUAUCAAUCAUUGCAAAAACAAGAAUUUUGACCAUUAGAAAAUUAGUUGGCAUUAAGUGGUGGUUUGCUGGGUUGAAAACUGGAUGGAAAGCAAACUAUUUGCAUGCAAAUUAUGGUUUACUGUAUAAUGACAUGUUGAUGAUAUAUUUCAAGACAUUAUCAAAUAAAAUUUAAUGUUUAUUUU